UGAGUCGUCUCUGCGCUCUUGGGGUAAUUUUGGUCGGCCGGCCACUCCUGGGAAGGUUCACCACUGUUCCAUGUUUUUGCCAUUUGUGGAUAAUGGCUCUCACUGUGGUUCGCUGGAGUCCCAAAGCUUUAGAAAUGGCUUUAUAACCUUUACCAGACUGAUAGAUCUCAAUUACUUCUGUUCUCAUUUGUUCUUGAAUUUCUUUGGAUCUUGGCAUGAUGUCUAGCUUUUGAGGUGCUUUUGGUCUACUUCUCUGUGUCAGGCAGCUCCUAUUUAAGUGAUUCUUGAUUGAAACAGGUGUGGCAGUAAUCAGGCCUGGGGGUGGCUACGGAAAUUGAACUCAGGUGUGAUACACCACAGUUAGGUUAUUUUUUAACAAGGGGGCAAUUACUUUUUCACACAGGGCCAUGUAGGUUUGGAUUUUUUUUUUCUCCCUAAAUAAUAAAAACCAUCAUUUAAAAACUGCA